UGGGGAAUCUUGGACAAUGGGGGCAACCCUGAUCCAGCCAUGCCGCGUGGGUGAUGAAGGCCUUAGGGUCGUAAAGCCCUUUCGCUGGGGAAGAUAAUGACGGUACCCAGUAAAGAAGCCCCGGCUAACUCCGUGCCAGCAGCCGCGGUAAUACGGAGGGGGCUAGCGUUGUUCGGAAUGACUGGGCGUAAAGCGCGCGUAGGCGGAUCAGGAAGUUGGGGGUGAAAUCCCGGGGCUCAACCUCGGAAUGGCCUUCAAAACUCCUGGUCUUGAGUUCGAGAGAGGUGAGUGGAAUUCCGAGUGUAGGGGUGAAAAUUCGUAGAUAUUCGGAGGAACACCAGUGGCGAAGGCGGCUCACUGGCUCGACACUGACGCUGAGGUGCGAAAGCGUGGGGGAGCAAACAGGAUUAGAUACCCUGGUAGGUCCACGCCCGUAAAAUCGAUGAAUGCCAGACGUCGGGGGGCUUGCCCUUCGGUGUCACACCUAACGGAUUAAGGCAUUCCGCCCUGGGGGAGUACGGU
rnacentral:rRNA from 1 species